rnacentral:rRNA from 1 species
AUGGAAACGAGGCCUGGCGUACCACAGAAUGGAGGAAACAACCUUGUGUUCGACCGGCCACGUUUGAAAUGGGAUCCUGUUCAUCGGGAGGGGUCUGGCGUACCAAAAAAGGGAGGAAACGGACCUCCUACGGUCAAAACAGGGGUCCUGUUGAUCGGGAGGGGUGUGGCGUACCGCAAAACGGAGGAAACAGACUUGUGUUGGAGCGCUACAGUCGAAACGGGGGUCCUGUUCAUCGGGAGGGGUGUGGUGUACCGCAAAAUGGGACUCCACAGGAUACUGUUCAUCUCCACCGUCAACCCCCUCCAGCCUCCAUGGGCUACUGUUCAUCCACCAUCGACCUCCUCCAGCCUCCACCUACGACUGUUCAUCCACGGGCUCUUGUUCAUCCAGCCUCCACUAUGCGCUACUCCACCGGCUACUGUUCAACCAGCCCUCUCCACGGGCUCCUAUUCAACCACCCCUCCACGGGCUACUGUUCAUCCUGCCAUCCACCGUCUACUGUUGAUCCUGCCCUCCACGGGGUGGUCCUGUUCAUCCUGCCCUCCACGGGUGAUACGUCUCCAACGUAUCUCUAAUUUUUGA